AGCGUUUCUGUUUUCCUCCGCGGGAGGAGUUACUGACUUCCUGUACGCCGCGAGAAAAGCGCGAAAUGGCUGUUUUAGUGAGUGUACGAUCCCCGCAGAAACAUCUGAUGAUUCAUGUUGAUGAUUUUGGCUGAACAGUGACUCAAUGGUCCAAAUGUUUUUUUCUAGUGGCAAAAACUCCAGUCAACUUGGUCCCAAUGCUCAAGGAAGGAGUGAUGUUCUGAAGGCCAGAAAAUUGGGACCAACUGUACAGUAUAUUGGAGGGGAGAUUGCUUCAGAGGGCAGUCAAGGCACAUUUGCUGGAUUCCGCCUCAUAAUGUUGCUUCAAGAAAGGGACCUUAAACAGGUCCAUCCUGUUAAGAGUUGUGGCAUGAGCAGAUACUGUUGGGGAUAGUGGUCCUGUGUCAUGUAGGGUUUUAGAAGUGAUAACCAGUAUCUUGUAUUUCACUUCAAAGCCUGUUGGGAGCUAGUGCAGCUCAUGUUUUGUCGUCAUACUAAUGUGUGUGCAAAUCUACCUGCAUUCUGGACUCGUUGUAGUUUCUGGAUUAUCUUCAAGCAUGUUGCAGUAGUCUAUCCGAGAGAUGACUUAGAUGAUUAAUCGCAAGCAAAGCCUUUGAUGCAAACAGAGACAAUUAGCAAACAAGACAAAGUUGUGUAAAGGCCCUCCUACCUAGUUACAGCUACUAUCUGUUUGUCAAGUAGAAGCUAUGACUCAAGGAGAA